rnacentral:rRNA from 1 species
AACUUCCUAAUAUCUAGCCCCACCACUAAAAACAACAAACAACAUUAAUAAACCCCAAAGCCCUCCCCCACAAGUUAACAAACCAUUUUACCUCCUUAGUAUGGGCGACAGAAAAG